GGCGCCAUCGUCUAGUCUGGCCUAGGACACGGGCUUUUCAAGCCCGGUACGCGGGUUCGAAUCCCGCUGGCGCUA
rnacentral:tRNA from 1 species